GACAGAGGGUGCAAACGUUGUUCGGAUUUACUGGGCGUAAAGCGUGUGUAGGCGGCUUCGCAAGUUGGAUGUGAGAUCCCACGGCUCAACCGUGGACGUGCAUCCAAAACUGCGUCGCUAGAGUCUCGGAGAGGAAGGUGGAAUGCUUGGUGUAGAGGUGAAAUUCGUAGAUAUCAAGCAGAACACCUGCGGCGAAGGCGGCCUUCUGGACGAUGACUGACGCUGAGACACGAAAGCGUGGGGAGCAAACAGG
rnacentral:rRNA from 1 species